ensembl:lncRNA
CGAGUCGUACCAUUCCGCCCCAUGAGGGGGGGUGUCUCAGCAAACACCGACCUGCGAAAAUGCCCUGCCACGUCGGAGACGUUCAAAAGAAAAAUUUAAUACACAUAAUCAGACAAUUUUACCAUCGCGGUGUCCUCCAAAUGUUGAUACUUCGCCAGGAUCGUCAUUCUGAAUUAUGACGUUUCUCCUCGCCCCUGCAGCUGCGGUUUUGAGGUACAGUUGAAAAUGGCUGUGAAGGAACAGUUGAGAUCUGUCGCGCUGUACAAGAAUUAAUAAUAAUGUCGCAUCCUCCAAAUUAACGAGGACUCGUCUCCGCCGCCCGGAGGACACGUCGGAAAGUGUGUGGGGACGGUACUUCUGCUCCCUGGCACCUUGGCAGUUCGGGGUUUGAACCAGCAACCUUCCGCUUCCUCACCCGCUAGACCACGGAAGCGGCCAGAUGUGUGCAGCGUGCAUCAGCACCACUGCUGCAUCAGCAUGUCCUGUGUUCCCACAGUACUACAAGUGUUCCAUCGAAAUAUUGGACAUGUGGAUCAGAGUGACUCGGCAAGGCUGUACAAUGGCCGGGUCAGUGCUGCAGAGGGAUUGUGGGUAAUUCAGGGGAGACCCUGCUUCAGGGUGCUACCGAAGUUAAAGGUCCCGGCAAAAUACUGUGUGUGUAUGUAUAUGUUUGCACCCAUGUCCUGGAAUAGCUUCUGUGAGGGUGCUAAAACCCGGUACUAAAUUUAGCCAAACAAGACCAGGCAGAGGGUUCUUGCUUCAAUUAAGGGACUUAAUAAUACACAAAAGGGACCCACACACACACACACACACACACACCCUCCAAAUUCAGCUGUUAAAACAGUUGGCCGGAAUGACUGUGCCUCUGGUUGAGUGGGCGGGGUCUCGAUGUUAUGGGGAUUUUAUUUUUUCCCCCGAGGUCGGGGCCUUAGUCACACCUGUCAGCCGUCCCACGCUGAUGACAUCACAGCAGUUGUGACUGUGGGUUAAUAGCGCUGCGCAGGGUGAGGGGCUGCAAUUACGCCGAACGUUACCAGAGUGAGAUGACACAGGGUUCUUUAUGUGUGUGUGUGUGUGUGUGUGUGUGUGAGUGAGUGAAAGAGAGAGAGAGAGAGAGAGAGAACCUGCUGACUCUUUUUAUGUAGAUUCUGUUGUGAGGAUGGUUGAGUGUUUUGCAGGAUGUGAGAUUAGUGCUGACACCUGCUGAGCAGACUCUUCCUCACACACACAUACACACACACACACUUGCAAACUCAUGGUACAGUAGCUGCAAAACAUGAAGUACAGGUGGUUGAAUUGUGUUGCUCCACCCUCAACAUCCUAACAAACCUGCACACACCGAAAGAAACUGUACAAUAUUGGACAUUGAUUUCAUACACACACACACGGCCCAGAGAAACCACAUCACUCACACACACCAACACACCCAAAACAGGAAGUAGUUUAUUUGCGCCCCCCCCCGCCCACUUCCAGCUCAUUUCACUCGGACUCUCCUGGAAGCCCUUCGCAAGAAGCCAGAGGCAUUAAGACCCAGCUGGCAUCCGAGCAGACACCAAACCGCCCCCUGCUGUCCCCAUCAGGAACCCCCGACAUGCAGCGUUCUGCAAGGGGAAGAUAUAAAAGAGAGAAGUCUGACAUGAUGGCCUUUAACUCCAGUGCUGUACAGGGGUGGAGUGAUCAGAGAGAGCCUGUUCUCGCUGACUGUGCAGCGCGCGUGUGUGUGUGUGUGUGUGUGCGCGCAUUGAUAAGUGUGAGGAGGGUCUAGGUGCUGAUGCCUGCUCAUGCGUGUGUGUAGGUAUUCUCUGAGAUGGGGGAGGUUGUGCGUGUGAGGUGGAGAGGGAGACAGUAGAGGUGUCAGGCCAGAUUAUCUGUGCUGUCUGCCUGUCUGCUCUGGGGUAAAAACACAGGACCACUUCUGCUGAGUCUGCACACACACACACACACACACACAGACUUUUCUUUUGCCCUCCUUCUCUCUCCGUACUCAUUCUAACAAGCUUGUUAAGAAAGGUUUAGGCAUGUCACAUGAAUAAUUCAAACACACACACACACACACACACUGAGAUCUUUAUUUAUGAAACUCGGGCCCCAGGAGAACGUUGCUUCACACACUCUGAAAUACAUAUAAUCUUUCUGGUCGACCGUGUUGUGUGGAGGAUCUGUUUCUUCUAAAAUAGUUUUUCUGCUCAUUCCAGGUGAAACAAGGGACGGGACGGACUGAGGAGAGGCUGGUAAGACAAAUACACACACACACUCUCUGUCUGUCUGUCUGUCUGCAGUUUUGGAGUGAGGGAUUGGGUGGGAGAGCCACCCAAUCCUCUCUCUUCCAUUCGUCCGCUCGUCAGUCCCUCCAUCCAUCCAUCCAUCCAUCCAUCCGUCCCUCAGCGUCCCCACCAACACGCUGCAUCCCAGAAAGCACUGGGCUUUUCACCUCUGACCCCUGAGGUCCACAAAGGUCCCAAGUGGCUUAGGACUUGUUUAUAUUUGGACCAAGGGUCUUCCGCUUAUUUCAUCAAUCUUUAUAGAUUUAUUAAGACUGAAGCUGGC